CUCUCUCUUUCUCUUUCUCUCUCUCUCUCUCUCUCUCUCUCUCUUUCUAUCUCUCUCCCUCUCUCUCUCUCUCUCUCUCUCUCUCUCUCUCUCUCUCUCUCUCUCUCUCUCUUUCUAUUCCUCUCCCUCCCUCUCUCUCUCUCUUGCUGAAUCUCUCUCCCUCUGUCUCUCAGUAUUCUCUUUCUCUUCUGUCGCUGUCUAUAUUCUCUCUCUUUCUCUCUCUCUAUAUGUAGUCUCUGUCUCCCUUUCUCAUUCUCUUUGUAUCUCUGAGUCUCUCUGUGAUGUAACGGCCCGCUGCUCUCCUUUUGUUUCUACACAUCCGCAGAGAACACAAAAACAGCCUCUGUUUGUCUCCUACUGUGUGCGUGUAUGUGUUGUGAGUGUGUGUGUGUGUGUUUGUGAACAUUCACAAUGUGCAUACGUUUUUGUGUGAUAUGUGCCUGCUGUUUGUGUGUGCCUGUGUAUAUGUCUGCCUGUUGUGUGCGUGCGCUUGUGUGUGUGUGUGUGUGUGUGUGUGCCUGUGUGUGCCUGUGUGUGGGUGCCUGUGUGUAUGUGUGCCUGUGUGUGUGCGUUUGCCUGUGUGUGCGUUUGCCUGUGUGUGUGUGUAUGUGCCUCUGUGUCUGUGCCUCUGUGUGUGUGUGCGCCUGUGUGUGUGUGUGUGUGUGUGCGCCUGUGUGUGUGUGCCUGUGUGUGUGCCUGUGUGUGUGUGUGCCUGUGUGCGUGUGUGUGUGGGCCUGUGUGUGCAGCAGUUCCCUGCCCAUGUGAGAUUGCUCCUUUCCUUCCUCCCUCCUUUCCUUCCUCCAUCCCUCCUGCUGGUGUCUGUGUCUGUGUUGUAGAAUAGUGAGAGGAGGAGAGCAGAGGAGCAGAGAACAGAGGCAGAGUUCCAUGGAGACCUGGGUGGUGGGGGGUUGUGCCUGGGAUUGUGUCUGUGUAUCUCUACUGCUCUCUGAUUAGGCUGCUCAGUCUGCUAAAUUAGCAUCGCACAGACCCACCAGCCUCCCUCUCUCUCUCUCUCUCUCACUCUCUCUUUCUCUCUCUCUCUAUCCCUCUGUCCUCUCUCUCUCUCUCUCUCCCCCUCUCACUCUCUCUCUCUCCCUAUUUCUCUCUCUCUAUCCCUCUGUCUUUCUCCUCUCCCCCUCCCUCUCUCUCUCUCUCUCUCUCUCUCUCCCUCUUUCUCUCUCUCUCCCUUUCUCUCUCUCUCUCUCUCUCUCUAUUUCUCUCUCUCUCUCUCACUCUCUCUUUCUCUCUCUCUCUAUCCCUCUGUCUUCCUCCUCUCUCUCUCUCUCUCCCCCCUCUCACUCUCUCUCUCUCUCCCUAUUUCUCUCUCUCUAUCCCUCUGUCUUUCUCCUCUCCCCCUCUCUCUCUCUCUCUCUCUCUCUCUCUCCCUCUUUCUCUCUCUCUCCCCUCUCUUUCUCUCUCUCUCUCUCUCUGUCUCUGUUCUUCUAUACGUGGGAGGGGAAGAGAGGAGGGAGGGGGAUAGGAUACAGGGACAGGAAAGGAGAAAAGAGAGAGAGGGAGGGAGAGGGAGGAGAGAUGGAGGGAGAGGGGAGGAGAGAUGGAGGGAGUGAGGUGAAGAAGAGAGAGAUGGAGGGAGUGAGGGGAAGGCAGGGGGUGAAGAGAGAAGAGGAGAAGAGAGUGAUGGAGGGAGGGAGUGAGGGGAAGGCAGGGGGAGAAGAGAGAGAUGGAGGGAGUGAGGCGAAGGCAGGGGGUGAAGAGAGAGAUGGAGGGAGUGAGGGGAAGGCAGGGGGUGAAAGAGAGAUGGAGGGAGUGGGGGAAUGCAGGGGGUGAAAGAGAGAUGGAGGGAGUGAGGGGAAGGCAGGGGGUGAAGAGAGAAGAGAGGAGAGAGAGAGAUGGAGGGAGCGAGGGGAAGGCAGGGGGUGAAGAGAGAAGAGGAGAAGUGAGAGAUGGAGGGAGUGAGGGGAAGGCAGAGGUGGGCGUGAUGCUUUUUUGAUCAGCAGCCAGAUUUUCACCCUUGUCUGUCAGUCUACACAGAGGAGAGGAGAGAGGGAUGGGGAGAAUAGAGGAGGGAGGGAAGGAGGGGGAGAAUAGAGGAGGGAGGGAGGGAGGGGGAGAAUAGAGGAGGGAGAGGAGAGGGGUGAGGAGAGAGGAGAUGAGAGAGGAGAGGAGAGAGGAGAUGAGAGAGGAGAUGAGAGAGAGGCUGCUGCUUCAAUGCACCGCUGCUCCCUGCUGAAUGUCAGUACCCCUCUCUCUCCCCUCCCCCUUCCCUCCAUCAUUGACCUUCCUCCAGAGUGCAGUGUGGCGUUACCGCCACCAGGUGGCGCCUCCCAUAAAGAAAACUGCAACCUUGGAAAUCCAACCAAAACAGGAAGAGUGGGCUGCUAAUGUGAUCACACUCCCACUUUCAGUCAUAACAAUGCACAGCGUGGCUGACUAACGUUUUCCGAGAGGUGCAGUGUGAGAGGUAGCUAGUGGGAUAAAGUGUAGGAUGAUUUGCCAUUUUGUCAAGGUCAUUCAUAGGACUCCUGUGCAGUCAUUUAAAAUGAACAAAUGUAGCAGAUGACAUCUUAAUAUGCAUAGGGCUUCAUCCCAAAUGGCACACUAUUAAGUAGAGCACUUCUUUUGACCGGGGCCCUAUAUGGAUGUUAAUGGGCAACAUACAUUCCAGUAACAUUCUGGUUCCUUUGCAUAGAAUGUGUUUGUUGUAGAUUAGAACAUUGGGUGCCGACAUGGAUGAGACUCAGCUGAACUCUGUCAACCCAGUUGGAGCUGGAUUCCUAUCCUAUGUCUGCUAGCCUUUCAGCUUGGUGCUGAACACUCUAUUAGUCUGUGUUUAGUGAUGGGAGGGAAUCGACAGGCUGACCUCCAGCCCUGCAGAAGGCUGUGUGAGACCAAUCAGUGUUCGGUGUUCAGGUGGCGUUAACAGUGGUGUUAGUGGACUGGCCAGUCAAUAGUGCUCAGCGCCAGGCAGAGGUGCCUGAUAGGCUGUUGCCACGGGAGAUGCAGAGACACACGACCUUGGUUACACAAAUCCUCUGUCUCUGUCUGUCUCUCUCUGUCCAUUUAUUUGUGUGUGUCUGUCUGUUAUUGUGUGUGUGUUACUGUCUUUCUCACUCUCUUUUUCCUUACUCUCUGUCACUGUCACUAUAUGUCAUUCUCUGUAUGUCUGUCUCUGUCACUAUAUGUCAUUCUCUGUAUGUCU
ensembl:lncRNA